GCCUUCGUGGUGUAGUGGUCAGCACGCUGGACGCGUAACCGAGAGGUCCCUGGUUCGAUUCCCAGCGAAGGCG
rnacentral:tRNA from 1 species